GUGUCUCUUCCACCUCCUGAUACAGAUGAACCCUGCUCAAGGCAUACAAAAUAUGUAACAGAAUGGAUGACUGAGAAAAUGAAUGGCUAUAUCUAAGGAAACCAGGCAAAUUCGGCUCUCAAACAAUGCUUGACUUGAAACUUACAGAAAAAAAAUACAUCUUAUUUACUC
rnacentral:lncRNA from 1 species